UACGGGAGGCAGCAGUAAGGAAUAUUGGUCAAUGGACGAAAGUCUGAACCAACCAUCCCGCGUGCAGGAUGAAGGUCCUAUGGAUUGUAAACUGCUUUUAGCAGAGAAGAAAAGCAUCCUUUU
rnacentral:rRNA from 1 species